CCAAGUCUUGGGAAAACCAUGAGUGGAGCACAAGCAGUCUGUCCACACUGAAAAUUUUGAGCUCAAGCAUACCAGCAGCACAACACAUCUGCUGAACAAUGCAGCUCCAAUUCCUGCAGAUAAACGAACUUCAGGCACAUACCACAGAGCAUUUCUGUGACUACACAACUGUGUUAUAACUGACUGAAUUGUGGUAAAGUGGCUUACAGCAGGAAAGGAAACACAACCGGCACAUCUGAGUCAAGCAUGUUAACCGAUGUGAUGAGCAAUGUGAACAAGUAUUUUAAGAUGUUUUUGGCAAGGAAAAGAUGUGGUGGGAAUAAUGACUGUAUAUAAGGUUUAUAAUUACUGUUAAUCACUUACUUGAAGAGGACAGUUGUUGUGGGUAUGGGAAAAGUGUAAGAUGGCAGAGGUGAGAUAGAAAGAGAAAAGUUGUUAACCUAUUCUGUUACUAACAGAGGUAAUAGCAUUACUCAAGAAAAUAAAUGCAUAUACUAGUAUGCUAAUAAUGACACAAAGUUAUGCUAAUAUAUUCCAUAUUUCCAUAUUUACAGGGACACCAUCCACACCACCCAAGACAGUCCAGCAAUCUGGAAGGAAGACCAGCACAAUACCACAGCAAUUGAUGCAAAGAGCAGCAGAUUUCCUGCCUCCCAGGAUGUUGUAAUUUUUCACUGGACAUCAAUGAUAUGCUUUGAUUAGUGUGACAGUGGAGGACGAGGAGGAAGAGGAGGAGGCAGCUUGCUGUAGCAGUAUAUUAUCACAGUCCUAAAAGGAUUACAGUAAGCACUGCAUUUCUCGUUGAGAAACAUUUUGUUAGCAGGAGCAACAAACUCUGGCAGUCCUGUAAAGGAAGUUACUUUAAGGCAAUAUAUCUCAUGUAAUGAGUAUCAUCAAAGAUUUGUUUAAUUUUUACCAGGUUUCUGAUUCCAUCAUUGGAGGCAAGGAUACUAGUGAACAUGACAAAAGUUUGAAACUUGGAAACCAUGCAUUUUUGUUUGUGAUUAAAGAACUGAGAAAUGGAAAUUUUUUAGGUUAUUCCUUUUAUCUGGGAAAGACUGAUAUUAUGCAGAGUGUGAG